UGGGGAAUAUUGCGCAAUGGGGGCAACCCUGACGCAGCCAUGCCGCGUGAAUGAAGAAGGCCUUCGGGUUGUAAAGUUCUUUCGGUAGCGAGGAAGGCAUUUAGUUUAAUAGACUAGGUGAUUGACGUUAACUACAGAAGAAGCACCGGCUAACUCCGUGCCAGCAGCCGCGGUAAUACGGAGGGUGCGAGCGUUAAUCGGAAUAACUGGGCGUAAAGGGCACGCAGGCGGUGACUUAAGUGAGGUGUGAAAGCCCCGGGCUUAACCUGGGAAUUGCAUUUCAUACUGGGUCGCUAGAGUACUUUAGGGAGGGGUAGAAUUCCACGUGUAGCGGUGAAAUGCGUAGAGAUGUGGAGGAAUACCGAAGGCGAAGGCAGCCCCUUGGGAAUGUACUGACGCUCAUGUGCGAAAGCGUGGGGAGCAAACAGGAUUAGAUACCCUGGUAGUCCACGCUGUAAACGAUGUCGAUUUGGGGGUUGAGCUUUAAGCUUGGCGCCCGUAGCUAACGUGAUAAAUCGACCGCCUGGGGAGUACGGCCGCAAGGUUA
rnacentral:rRNA from 1 species